rnacentral:rRNA from 1 species
UACGAAGGGGGCUAGCGUUGCUCGGAAUUACUGGGCGUAAAGCGCACGUAGGCGGCUUGUUAAGUCGGAGGUGAAAUCCUGGAGCUCAACUCCAGAACUGCCUUCGAUACUGGCGAGCUUGAGUUCGGGAGAGGUGAGUGGAACUGCGAGUGUAGAGGUGAAAUUCGUAGAUAUUCGCAAGAACACCAGUGGCGAAGGCGGCUCACUGGCCCGAUACUGACGCUGAGGUGCGAAAGCGUGGGAAGCAAACAGG